rnacentral:lncRNA from 1 species
GCUGCUGUUCGUCCGGUGGUCAGCGCCGACUGCUGCUGUUUCGCCGGAGUCGCGGCCUGCUGGACUUCGUCUGCCGCUGCUCUGUGAACAGGCGGGAGUCGCCGUUGGCGUCGCGCUGCCUUUGCCCUAAAAUUGGCAAGGCUGUUGCUCGACACUCCGCCUCUAUUGGGAACUACCGCCUCCCUGUAACGUCGUUGGAAGCUGCUCCGUACUCGAGCCCCUGCUCUUCUUCCUCAGAAAUCAGCCGUCGCCGCCACUGAAGAAUCGGCGAGGUCUCCGUGCUCUCCUCAUUGUUUUCGUCCGGCAGGUAGCAAGCCAGAGGCUGCCACCGCCACCGCCAAGGGGCAGUCGCCCUCCUCCUCGUUUAUUGAAACAGGUACAAUCCCUUUCCCUCAGAAGCUAAGUUCGAUCCCCAAAUUUUUACUUGGUUCUUAGCGUGAAUCAAAGAUAAAGCGUAAUUUCUUCUUGCUUUGCAUAAACUCAUAUGCUCGUUUAAAACUAUAUAUGAACUGUCACUUGCUCAUAAAGACGUAGUUGGUGUGCUUACUAAGUUCAAGAUGUUUAUAAGGUCUUCUAUAUUUGAAACUGAUCAUGCUCAUGCCUUGAUAUGAAUGCUCACUGGUAUGAAAAAAAUAGGAUAGCAUAAUUACCUUGAAGUAUGCUGUUGGUUUGUGGCUGAGCUUAUGAAUCAAAUGUGCUGAAAAUAAGCCGUAGCUUGAAGCCUUUAUGUUGGUUGGAUAUUGCUUGGUUGUUGUCGAUUUACUAGAACUUGAUACUUUGGCAGAACUCGUGGCUGCUCUUUGAAGAGACCUCUUGGUGACAGGAAAAUGAUAGAGAAUGCUGUGCUCACUGCUGGAGUUGAGAUAAGUGGAGGAGAGUUGUUGGCUAGUGGCCUUAAAGAAACGAGAUGGUGGAGGUGGUUUGAAUAGGUGGGGAGCAAUAGGUGGUGGCAGCACAUUUAUUUUGCUUUCCACUAACUUUAUUGACUUUUCUAUCCCUCUUCUUUAAUUGUUGUGCCAACUUGAGUGAGUGGCAGUAAGGUGGCGUAAAUUCAACCUUGUAAUAUACUAUACAAUUUUUCCCAAGCUGGGAAGUAGACUGUAUUCGUGAACUGUAAAUAAAUACUGGCUUCGAUUUUCAAUCAUCGCGUUUCUGUAUC